rnacentral:lncRNA from 1 species
CUAGCAUUAGCUAUGUUUAUCCAUUAGCAUUCUCUUUUGUUUGCCAGUCAGGAGUGGAUCAUACUAAGCUUAUGUGCUAUCCUGUCUUUUUUCUACCAAAGGUUUCUGUCAUUGCCAAGUCAGCCUGAUUUUGCUGCUCUAAUAGUGCAAGUUUCAGUGUUGACUGGACGUUCAUGUUAUAGCGGCUGUACCAUCUAGACGUGAACUCCAUAGUGAUGCACAUUAUAUUACUUUAUACCCAGUAUGAAGAUGACAACAUUUGGGUCCUCUCCUUCCUUCAUCGCAAAAAGAGUGCCAAAGAUGGAAUAGCAUAAGGAAAAAGCACAAUACUGCCUUAGAUCAAAAAACAAUCCUUGGCAUGCUGAGUGAGGACAUACAUUACAAGAAGAGUCCCAAGCUCAAUCCUAGAGAGGCUUUUUGGCUCAUCUGAAGAAAAUACAAAGAAAAAAGUUAAGCUGAUGUUCUCUCUCCCAAGAACAGACGAUGAAUAAGCCUAAUCUCAUACAACUAGAGGAUCACUAUCAGAUUGCCCUGAUUUUUCGGUGAAAACGUUUCUGAUCAUACAAUGAAUCACAGAGUACCUUGUAUCAGAUGUUGCUGACACAGUGCUUUAUAAUUUCUUAGUUCUGGAAACAUCUGAUAAACUUGAGAGAAACAGUGAGUAUGACGCUGAUGGGUCACAGGAGUCCUCUUGGCUUCAGGGUGUUCGCAGAGCCCUAAAGCUUGACUGUGAUGCUGGCACAACUAGAGCCCCACAGACAUACAGAGGAGCU